UACAGAGGUCCCGAGCGUUGUUCGGAUUCACUGGGCGUAAAGGGUGCGUAGGUGGCGAGGUAAGUCGGAUGUGAAAGCUCGGAGCUCAACUCCGAAAUGGCAUUGGAAACUACCUUGCUCGAGGGUUGGAGGGGGGACUGGAAUACUUGGUGUAGCGGUGAAAUGCGCAGAUAUCAGGAGGAACACCGGUGGCGAAGGCGGCUCUCUGGACCAAUAUUGGCGCUGAGAAACGAAAGUGCGGGGAUCAAACAGG
rnacentral:rRNA from 1 species